AGAAAUUUCAGUUCUUCUUCACUUGGGGGAAAGUACAGCCAUGGCCACUUGUCUAUUCCCUUCCUGGCACUCUUUGGUGCAACACAUCUGUUGCUUCAGCUGCUAUCAGAGCGUUUUGGCAAAUCCCUGUUCCUAUCUGGUCUUUGCCAGCCUGCUUUGCAUGUUCUGCCAUUCCUUCAAAAAGCUGCCACUGGCCCACCCAGAUCCCCUUCCUGCAAGCUGAAUACUCUUUCAGUUCAGCAAUUCUUAUUCCAAAAUCUUUGCUGUCCAUAGGGAAGGGGAGGAGCAGGUGGACAGAUGGAAAGGGCUGGAAGGGCUGACAAUGGCAGUGCCUCAUCCACAGGAGAGCUGUAACAGCAGGAGCUCUGCUAUGGCACAGCUGCUGGAGCUGAGCUGGAGGUGAUGGAAGGAAGAGCAGACCUGCAGUGUUGAUGACCUGGCCAAGCUGGCCCUCUCUUCAGCUUUUUCAUCACAGAUUUCAUUUCUCGCCCCCAGCUGCCAGCAAGUGGGAUUGGCCUUGGGAAUUUCAGUCUGAGCAGAGCUGUAUCAAACCAUAUAAAGAACAUUAGAGAGAGUCAUCAUUCAAGAAUGUCCUCAUUUCUGCAGAUCAUGGUACAGAGUGAGCUUCCCUGGGAGCAAUUCACUCAGUAAGAUUGAAAGGACUGUAUGGUACUGUGGGUCACUGCCUCCAGGCAACUCUGAAAGAUAUCCCUGUCCUCCAGCAUCAAACCCUCUCCAAUGAACCACUAGCCUCACUGAAAGUCUUCUUGCCAGCAUUUUCUUAAAAAGAGUAUCUCACUUCUACCUGUGCUUAGGUAAGUUGCCUUCUAGUCAAAUCCCUGAGAAUGCAUUAGAGUCUUUAUUUAUUUAUUUAUUGGUCUAUUGAAGACAUAACCAACUAUUUGAACUGAGGCUGGUUUUGAAAAAGCAAGAAGGGGUUAAUCGUGUCUAUUUUAGCAUAGCACAUGGCAUAGAUAUGGCUCUUUUAUUGUGCCCUACUCUAGAACUGUCCUUAGUGAUGACAUUUCUGCAUAAUGCAAUAUAUGAAGCAUUGUUGUAAUAAACAACCAUCAUUAUGUUUCUUGGGCCCCCCCCAGUCAUGGCUCACUGUACAUCAUUAGUAGAACAGUAAAAUAAAAUUACAGCUUUAUAGUAAAAGAACACAUUCUGUAUGAUAAUCUACCCCUUCAGGAGACAUCCUCUAAAAUUCAUUAGAUUACAAUACCAAUUUUCUACAGUUCUUUGAGGAGCGUAAUGUUGAACACGAUGUGCUGCUCUUGAGUUCUCUAGGGAGGAGCCAUCAUUCUCUCUCCCAUCACUGGGGCUUACGCAGACAUAGAUAUGAAUUUGAAAAGAAUUCAUUUCCAAUAGUGUUUUUCCCAAAAGAUCUCUCCUGGGUCAAAGAGCUUGUGCAGAAAUACCUCAAGCCUCUCCUCCCUCUGCACCUGGACAUUUUGCUAUGAACGUCGAGUAACUUUUUAGAAUCCGCUGCCAAAAAAAUGUCAUUGACUACAUAAGCAUCCUGUGUUGUCUUUUUUUUCAACAGUGUUGUAAAUUUGGGCUUUGAGAGGCCUCAGGUAGAAGUUUGCUUGAAUAAACUUUUGCCAU
ensembl:lncRNA